rnacentral:rRNA from 1 species
UUCCGGUUGAUCCUGCCGGACCCGACUGCUAUUUGGGUGAGGAUAAGCCAUGCGAGUUGAAUGGGAAACCUAAAGUUCCCAUGGCAAACUGCUCAGUAACACAUGAUCAACUUACCCUAUAGAGAAAAAUAACCUCGGGAAACUGAGGAUAAUGUUUCAUAGUUGAAUUGGCUUGGAAAAGUUUUUCGACAAAAGGGGUAAAAAAAAUGGUUUUUAUCUGCUAUAGGAUAGGAUCGUGUUCGAUUAUGGUUGUUGGUGAAGUAAUGGCUCACCAAGCCGAUAAUCGAUAGGGGCCGUGAGAGCGGGAGCCCCGAGAUGGGUACUGAGACAACGACCCAGGCCUUACGAGGCGCAGCAGGCGCGAAACCUCCGCAAUACACGAAAGUGUGACGGGGUUACCCAAAGUGUUCAAUUUUGAACUGUGGUAGGUGAGUAAUGUUCCCUACUAGAAAGGAGAGGGCAAGGCUGGUGCCAGCCGCCGCGGUAAAACCAGCUCUUCAAGUGGUCGGGAUAAUUAUUGGGCUUAAAGUGUCCGUAGCCGGUUUAGUAAGUUCCUGGUAAAAUCGGGUAGCUUAACUAUCUAUAUGCUAGAAAUACUACUAUACUAGAGGGCGGGAGAGGUCUGAGGUACUGCAGGGGUAGGGGUGAAAUCUUAUAAUCCUUGUUGGACCACCAGUGGCGAAGGCGUCAGACUGGAACGCGCCUGACGGUGAGGGACGAAAGCCAGGGGAGCGAACCGGAUUAGAUACCCGGGUAGUCCUGGCCGUAAACGAUGCAUACUAGGUGAUGGCACGGCCAUGAGCCGUGUCAGUGCCGUAGGGAAACCGUUAAGUGCGCCGCCUGGGAAGUACGGUCGCAAGGCUAAAACUUAAAGGAAUUGGCGGGGGAGCACCACAAGGGGUGAAGCCUGCGGUUCAAUUGGAAUCAACGCCGGU